AGUGAACGCUGGCGGUAGGCCUAACACAUGCAAGUCGAACGGCAGCACAGUAAGAUCUUGCUCUUACGGGUGGCGAGUGGCGGACGGGUGAGGAAUACAUCGGAAUCUACUUUUUCGUGGGGGAUAACGUAGGGAAACUUACGCUAAUACCGCAUACGACCUACGGGUGAAAGCAGGGGAUCUUCGGACCUUUCGCGAUUGAAUGAGCCGAUGUCGGAUUAGCUAGUUGGCGGGGUAAAGGCCCACCAAGGCGACGAUCCGUAGCUGGUCUGAGAGGAUGAUCGGCCACACUGGAACUGAGACACGGUCCAGACUCCUACGGGAGGCAGCAGUGGGGAAUAUUGGACAAUGGGCGCAAGCCUGAUCCAGCCAUACCGCGUGGGUGAAGAAGGCCUUCGGGUUGUAAAGCCCUUUUGUUGGGAAAGAAAAGCAGCAGGUUAAUACCCCGCUGUUCUGACGGUACCCAAAGAAUAAGCACCGGCUAACUUCGUG
rnacentral:rRNA from 1 species